CAAGCACAACACCUGCCGCCUGGAACUCUGCACGGGGCGUGUUUCGUCCCGCGCAGCGGUACCAGAUCGCGCUGCGCCGUCAGCCGAGCCGCGCGCGGUCCGCUGGGUUUUUAAUCAUAAUCCUGAAGGAAAGUCAACUCUGCGUGCUUAGUUUAUGAAAUCGUUAUCCCUGGACCCUUACGUUAUCACUCGAUACGUUUACAACUCUUGCAAAUUACAGUUGACAGCAUGACAAAUACGUCCGUACGAUCACUGUGAAUAACACACAUUUAAUUCAGGUUAAAAUCUUUGACUGAACAAGCUUUACCUGGCUGCUGGGGUGGACGAUGAAUAGCAUGCGCGCCUGCGCGUGUACGUUUCACUAUCACAUGUCAGCUCACCGCGUCAUCAUGCGUAGCAGCCUGUUCCAGAGUUGACUCAGGCGACACACGAUGCAAAAGUCUGAACACAAUCAAGCUUGGGUGUGGUCAGUGAAAAGGAAUCCAUACCCCACCUUCCUACUACCAUAUCCAGAAUAAUGCCCAGGCCAUCAUAGUCAACCAUUCGAGGUAAAAAGGAGCAGUGCGCGGCGUUGCUGCACGUGAAAGGGGAGUCGACAACUAGGACGCGGCUCCUGGGCUGGUGCUAUGGCUAGUGUCCAAAAAGACGAGGAAAUUUGCUCCCCUUUAGGCUUCAAGUCAUUCGUUUGGAAGCACUUUGGAUUCCAAAGAAAAGAUGGCUCAACGGACAAGACACGUUCAGUUUGUAAAUCCUGCCAUGCGGUGAUCAAAUAUUCAGGGAGCACAAAUCUCGCCGCACAUUUAAAGAAAAAACACCACAUCAAAGUUCAGUGUUAAAGUAAGCGAUUUGUAUACUACAAUACUCUUGUAAUUUCCUAAAUAAAGAGUUUGCAGUACCUUGUUGAUUUUGCGUUUGAAUUGUUAUA